GGGCGAAUGGUCUAGGGGUAUGAUAUUCGCUUUGCAUGCAUCCACAUGACGUUACGAUGAGGUUAUCUUGCUUGCGAAGGGUCCGGGGUUCAAAUCCCCGUUCGUCCA